rnacentral:rRNA from 1 species
GAUGAACGCUGGCGGCGUGCCUAAUACAUGCAAGUCGAGCGGACAGACGAGGAGCUUGCUCCUCUGACGUUAGCGGCGGACGGGUGAGUAACACGUGGAUAACCUACCUAUAAGACUGGGAUAACUUCGGGAAACCGGAGCUAAUACCGGAUAAUAUAUUGAACCGCAUGGUUCAAUAGUGAGAGACGGUUUUGCUGUCACUUAUAGAUGGAUCCGCGCCGCAUUAGCUAGUUGGUAAGGUAACGGCUUACCAAGGCAACGAUGCGUAGCCGACCUGAGAGGGUGAUCGGCCACACUGGAACUGAGACACGGUCCAGACUCCUACGGGAGGCAGCAGUAGGGAAUCUUCCGCAAUGGGCGAAAGCCUGACGGAGCAACGCCGCGUGAGUGAUGAAGGUCUUCGGAUCGUAAAACUCUGUUAUUAGGGAAGAACAAAUGUGUAAGUAACUAUGCACGUCUUGACGGUACCUAAUCAGAAAGCCACGGCUAACUACGUG